UAUAUAUACAUAUAUAUAUAUAUAUGAUUUAUUACAGUGACUAACAGGCUGUGGUUCAGCUGGUCCAACAAUGGCUGUUCUCAAUGGAAAGUCUAAGAAUCUAGUAGUUAUUCAGUCCAUGAAGUGAAUCCUGAAGAAUUUGGCCUGACAAAAGGCUAGAAAGUUUUUUUUCCCUGUCCCUUAUAUAGGUUGUCACAGGAAGAUAUGGCCUAUAUUUAGGGUGGGUCUUCUUGCUUCAAAUGGUCCAAUUAACUAAAAAUCCCUCUCAGUGUGCCCGGCGACUUGAGUUUUUAGUCAGUAUAGAUGUGGUCAAGUUGACAAUCAAGGAGAGUCAUCGCAAUUCUCCAAAUCCCAGUUCACCCACAGUGAGGCUUGGGCCAGGGCAUAAACCGGAAUGUCCGAAUGGACAAGAGAAGAUGGAGUAGAUAUGAGAGCUGGAGUUGGAGUGGGAAUCGGGAGGAGUGGGAAGAGAAAGUGAGCUGAAAGAGCGAGGUAAUGAAGAGGAGGGAGGGCGGGAGAGGGAGAGAUUGAGGUGGGAAGCUCAGGCCGUCUUUUUCCUAUUGGCAGUUACGACCAACCUCUCAGGAGUGACUCUCUGCCAGCCUGGCUGCUAAAUCACGGACACCAGCGUAAUUGAAACAGAAAAUCACGCCCGGCAGAACAGCCUAGCAACACCACUAUUAGCAGCUGUGGCUCUCCACUUCGAACCAGGGAGCUAAUACGCCUCUUUAUGCAUGCGCAGGCACUGCCAGAUAUAUAUCUUCACCAAUGUUUUCAUAGGGACUGGGCCUUCCCACUCCUUCCUGCCACCACGAAGCUGCUCACUCUGGGAAGACCGAACUUGUCUGUGGUACCUAAGGCUGCCCCACUGUGGGGCUGAUGCAAAACUCUUCUUCCCUCCCCCCUCCCUCCUUUCCUUCCUCCCUUCUUCCCCUUCUCGUCCAUCACUGAGCUUACGGUGGUGCUGAGGAAGCUGAAAACAGAGCAAUCACACAAACCUGGAGGUAAACUGCACCAAUUGCCCUAAUCAAGCAAGCUGCUCUCCAAAGGGAUCUGACACCUUGGAAUGAAGGAGGUCACGGUGAGAAAGGGAUAAAGAAACCAGGGUACAGGGAGAGAAGACUGUUCUACACGCCUACAGCUGGAACAAAGUUCUGGCCCAGGAGCUAGAGAAGCGCCUUGCUUUCCGAUGUGGACUUCUUCCUCAGCAGCCGCUGUGUGGGACAAAUACAAUCCAGAAACACAUUGAUUGGAUUCAGCUUGCCGGUGUGAACUUCUAUAACAUGGAGAAUUUAUGACUGAAAAUGCAGCUUGGCCCGAAUGCAGAGACCACUGACUUGGAAAGGAGAUUCACUAUCAUCGUGGCCAUUGUGAUUGUCACUGUCACUAACACAUUUUCAGAGCGGACCACAAGUACUUCUAAGCAAGAGCUCAGUUCAUCCCAUGACACAUUGAGGUCAUCCAUAGAGGAGGAAACUAAGGUUC
rnacentral:sRNA from 1 species